CUGCCUUGUGCACCAAAUUACAUUGGAGUGUGACGGUCACCUUUUUUUGGUCUCUUGGCCGCUGCCCUUUGUUUUGAACACCCAUAGGCGUUUACCCGACAUCCCUGCUGCGCUUUCUUGACGGACCCGCGUGUGUGUGUCUCUGCCGCAGGUGAUAGAGUAAGUGGCGCGUAAGGGCUAGCAGCAUCGUAUCCUCCGCUCCGCGUAAAACACAAGAAGGGAAGUGAGCGAAAGUGUAGAUCGCUGAGGAUCAACCACAGCUCUGUCCGCUCUGUGCGCUGGCCUGUUUUCGAAGACAGCACGUGUUGCCCAACCCGCCUCGCUGCUACCGCCUCUCCCUACCUCACCAUUGAAGGGAGUUCGGAUUUUCCGUUAGAGUAGAUCUCUGUACAGCGAGUGUUCGAUUGACGUCCCAAACAUGUACUGCACGGCUGCUGUACCUGGCGUGCCGUCUGAUGGCACCUUUACCCAAGAUCCGCGACUAUACCGCUCACAGUUUGCGCCGGCAGCGUGUAGUAGCUGCCCACUGAAGGUGCAGGAAGUUCUUUGCGCAGAGAUGGAGGCUCGCACACGGCUUGUCUGCGAUGCCCUGACCGACUUUCAGCGCAUCGUGAGCCUCUGCGUCACUGAGCGGCACGGACGGUGGGUGAUGUCCGUAGCCGACGGUAGGCCUCGUAGUGGAUGGUCUUGCCCCAAGUGCGGUUGGACCGAAGACGAUGUCUGCACCUUCAGCAGCCAUAGGCAAAUGCGCACCUCAGGAGAGGUCUAUUCUGAGACGCUCCUGCGCGAGCCCUGUCUCACUCCGCUUUGCGAUGAGGUGGAGUUGCACGGGAGCCAGCCGCAUCGCUGCCGCUACGCCGACGACGCCGCGAUGCGACUGGAGCGUCAACAUGUGUUUCAAAGAGAGUACGGAUCGAUGCUGCAACGCAUCAAGUCGGCGAGCCAGGGCAUCCAAGAAAGUGUGACGCGGUGAAUCGUGCUGUUUGCCUCUUGCGGUUAUUAGUCUACGUUCGCGAACUGCUGUGUCCGUACCCAGCGCGGGAGCUGGCGUCUUGCUUCUCUGUGGAUUUCGUGGAGGCAGCGCUUCCGCUAGU
rnacentral:misc_RNA from 1 species